rnacentral:rRNA from 1 species
UAGGGAAUCUUCGGCAAUGGACGGAAGUCUGACCGAGCAACGCCGCGUGAGUGAAGAAGGUUUUCGGAUCGUAAAGCUCUGUUGUAAGAGAAGAACGAGUGUGAGAGUGGAAAGUUCACACUGUGACGGUAUCUUACCAGAAAGGGACGGCUAACUACGUGCCAGCAGCCGCGGUAAUACGUAGGUCCCGAGCGUUGUCCGGAUUUAUUGGGCGUAAAGCGAGCGCAGGCGGUUAGAUAAGUCUGAAGUUAAAGGCUGUGGCUUAACCAUAGUAGGCUUUGGAAACUGUUUAACUUGAGUGCAAGAGGGGAGAGUGGAAUUCCAUGUGUAGCGGUGAAAUGCGUAGAUAUAUGGAGGAACACCGGUGGCGAAAGCGGCUCUCUGGCUUGUAACUGACGCUGAGGUUCGAAAGCGUGGGGAGCAAACAGGAUUAGAUACCUUGGUAGUCCACGCUGUAAACGAUGAGUGCUAGGUGUUAGACCCUUUCCGGGGUUUAGUGCCGUAGCUAACGCAUUAAGCACUCCGCCUGGGGAGUACGACCGCAAGGUU